GGUAGCAUGGCCGAGCUGUCUAAGGUGCUGGAUUUAGGCUCCAGGCUCUCUGGAGGCAUGGGUUCAAAUCCCACUGCUGCCA